rnacentral:rRNA from 2 species
UUGGGUUGUAAACCCCUUUUCUCAGGGAAGAAGAAAGUGACGGUACCUGAGGAAUCAGCCUCGGCUAACUCCGUGCCAGCAGCCGCGGUAAUACGGAGGAGGCAAGCGUUAUCCGGAAUGAUUGGGCGUAAAGCGUCCGUAGGUGGCAAUUCAAGUCUGCUGUCAAAGCCUGAGGCUUAACCUCAGAUCGGCAGUGGAAACUGAGUAGCUUGAGUGCGGUAGGGGCAGAGGGAAUUCCCGGUGUAGCGGUGAAAUGCGUAGAGAUCGGGAAGAACACCGGUGGCGAAAGCGCUCUGCUGGGCCGCAACUGACACUGAGGGACGAAAGCUAGGGGAGCGAAUGGGAUUAGAUACCCCAGUAGUCCUAGCUGUAAACGAUGGAAACUAGGUGUUGCCUGUAUCGACCCGGGCAGUGCCGUAGCUAACGCGUUAAGUUUCCCGCCUGGGGAGUACGCACGCAAGUGUGAAACUCAAAGGAAUUGACGGGGGCCCGCACAAGCGGUGGAGUAUGUGGUUUAAUUCGAUGCAACGCGAAGAACCUUACCAGGGCUUGACAUGUCCGGAAGCCUGGGGAAACCCGGGUGUGCCUUCGGGAACCGGAACACAGGUGGUGCAUGGCUGUCGUCAGCUCGUGUCGUGAGAUGUUGGGUUAAGUCCCGCAACGAGCGCAACCCUCGUUCUUAGUUGCCAGCAUUAAGUUGGGCACUCUAGGAAGACUGCCGGUGACAAACCGGAGGAAGGUGGGGAUGACGUCAAGUCAUCAUGCCCCUUACGUCCUGGGCUACACACGUACUACAAUGGGGAGGACAGAGGGCAGCCACUUCGCGAGAAGGAGCUAAUCCCGAAAACCUUUCCUCAGUUCAGAUUGCAGGCUGCAACUCGCCUGCAUGAAGGAGGAAUCGCUAGUAAUCGCAGGUCAGCAUACUGCGGUGAAUCCGUUCCCGGGCCUUGUACACACCGCCCGUCACACCAUGGAAGUUAGCCCGGCCCGAAGUCAUUACUC